rnacentral:rRNA from 1 species
CAGUUAAAAAGCUCGUAGUUGGAUUUCUUCGUUGGUGCGACCGCCCGUCGCCUUCUAGGUGCAUGGGACAGGUUUGCGUUGACGAAUCUUGCCACGAACUGCUCUGACCUUCAUUGGUUGGGGUUCAGGGACUGGCUCGUUUACUUUGAGAAAAAUAGAGUGUUCAAAGCAGGCGUUUGCCUUGAAUAAGUUAGCAUGGAAUAAUGAUAUAGGACUUUGGUUCUAUUUUGUUGGUUGUUCGAGGACCGAAGUAAUGAUUGAUAGGGACAGUUGGGGGCAUCAGUAUUCUGAAGCGAGAGGUGAAAUUCUUGGACCUUUGGGAGACUAACAACUGCGAAAGCAUUUGCCAAGGAUGUUCUCUUCAAUCAAGAACGAAAGUUGGGGGAUCGAAGACGAUCAGAUACCGUCGUAGUCUCAACUAUAAACUAUGCCGACUAGGGAUUGGUGGACGUUUUAUUUCGACUUCAUCAGCACCUUAUGAGAAAUCAAAGUAUUUGGGUUCCGGGGGGAGUAUGGUCGCAGGCUGAAACUUAAAGGAAUUGACGGGAGGGCACCACCAGGAGUGGAGCCUGUGGCUUAAUUUGACUCAACACGGGAAAACUUACCAGGU